rnacentral:misc_RNA from 1 species
AGUAAUUAUUUAAAUACAUUAAAAAAUUAUUUUCAUAUUUUUUUGAUUUUUUUUCUUUGAAUAUGAUGAAUUGGAAAAGAAAAAUACUUUACUAUUAUUUCAAAUAUCAAAAAAUCAAAAAGAAAAAAUAAUGUGAGCUAUUAAAGAGUACAAGCAGUUGCAGUGAUUGAAAAUGGAUCUCCAUGUGAAGAAGCCAUUGCCAUUUACAUUUUUCUCCUGCAAAAAGCUGCCAAUGUCUCCCUCUAAUUUACAUGCCAAUAGAAAGAACUGGAUUUGCAGUUAGAUCUACCCAAGUAUCUCUCUCCCUCGUUAAUGUCAAAAGAUGAAAUGGGUAGGUUUAUAGGGGGCAUGUUUGGCCAUUGAAGAAUAUCUCCAGGGUUAGAUAUGUCCCAGAAAAUUA